rnacentral:rRNA from 1 species
CAGUAGCCACGGUAAUACAGAGGGUGCAAGCGUUAAUCGGAAUUACUGGGCGUAAAGCGCGCGUAGGUGGUUCGCCAAGUUGGAUGUGAAAUCCCCGGGCUCAACCUGGGAACUGCAUCCAAAACUGGCGAGCUAGAGUAUGGUAGAGGGUGGUGGAAUUUCCUGUGUAGCGGUGAAAUGCGUAGAUAUAGGAAGGAACAUCAGUGGCGAAGGCGACCACCUGGACUGAUACUGACACUGAGGUGCGAAAGCGUGGGGAGCAAACAGGAUUAGAUACCCCCGUAGUCCCUGUCUUUAUACA